rfam:Schistosoma mattheei strain Denwood, Zambia genome assembly, scaffold: SMTD_scaffold0016738
AUUCAGCUGACGAGUACGAAAUAGGAAGAAACGCGCGUCCUGCAU